rnacentral:rRNA from 1 species
AGUGAACGCUGGCGGUAGGCCUAACACAUGCAAGUCGAACGGCAGCACAGUAAGAGCUUGCUCUUACGGGUGGCGAGUGGCGGACGGGUGAGGAAUACAUCGGAAUCUACUUUUUCGUGGGGGAUAACGUAGGGAAACUUACGCUAAUACCGCAUACGACCUACGGGUGAAAGCAGGGGAUCUUCGGACCUUGCGCGAUUGAAUGAGCCGAUGUCGGACUAGCUAGUUGGCGGGGUAAUGGCCCACCAAGGCGACGAUCCGUAGCUGGUCUGAGAGGAUGAUCGGCCACACUGGAACUGAGACACGGUCCAGACUCCUACGGGAGGCAGCAGUGGGGAAUAUUGGACAAUGGGGGCAAGCCUGAUCCAGCCAUACCGCGUGGGUGAAGAAGGCCUUCGGGGUGUAAAGCCCUUUUGUUGGGAAAGAAAAGCAGCAGGUUAAUACCCCGCUGUUCUGACGGUACCCAAAGAAUAAGCACCGGCUAACUUCGUG